rnacentral:tRNA from 2 species
AGUAAAGUGACCGAGAUUAGGUGAUAAAUUGUAAAUUUAUUACGGAAUUAUUCCCUUUACUA